UACGUAGGGUGCGAGCGUUAAUCGGAAUUACUGGGCGUAAAGCGUGCGCAGGCGGCUUUGCAAGACAGAUGUGAAAUCCCCGGGCUUAACCUGGGAACUGCAUUUGUGACUGCAUGGCUGGAGUGCGGCAGAGGGGAUGGAAUUCCGCGUGUAGCAGUGAAAUGCGUAGAUAUGCGGAGGAACACCGAUGGCGAAGGCAAUCCCCUGGGCCUGCACUGACGCUCAUGCACGAAAGCGUGGGGAGCAAACAGG
rnacentral:rRNA from 1 species